AUUGAACGCUGGCGGCAGGCCUAACACAUGCAAGUCGAGCGAAUGAAGGGAGCUUGCUCCUGCAUUCAUCGGUGGACGGUUGGGUAAUGCCUAGGAGUCUGCCUGGUCGUGGGGGAUAACGUCCUGAUACGGGCGCUAAUACCGCAUCCGUCCUGAGAUCGCAAUUGGGUGAUCUUCCGUUCUCACGCUAUCGGAUGAGCCUAGGUUGGAUUAACUAGUUGGUAGGGUAAAUGCCUACCAAGGCUACGAUCCAUAACUGGUCUGAGAGGAUGAGCAGUCACACUGGAGGUGAGACACGGACGAGAAUCCUACGGGAGGGAGGAGGGGGGAAUAUUGGAAAAUGGGUGAAAGGAUGAACCAGCAAUGACGCGUGAGUGAUGAAGGCCUUAGGGUAGUAAAGCUAUUUUAACCGGGAGGAUAAUGACAGUACCGGGAGAAUAAGCGCCGGCUAACUCCGUG
rnacentral:rRNA from 1 species